ensembl:lncRNA
CUGGAGUCAAGGUCCCCCACAGAAUGGCUAAAAUGGAGACAAUAACAAGUGUUGAAGAGGAUGAGGAGAAAUGGGAACCUUCACACAUUGCUGAUGGGGACGUCAAAUGGUCAGCACUGGGCUCUGUGUGCACACCUGUGGCAGUGACCUGUCAUUACCAAAAACCAUUUAAUGUGUGAAGGUAAGAAGUUGUAUGCCCCUGUGCUUGGCAAACAUUUGAAGCAACAACCAAAUCACCAUGAACAAUGGUGGAAAUUAGGUUGUGGUGCAUUCACUAACUCUCACUUAAAUGCUGUGCCCGCACGGAUUCCUGCAGCGCUCACACACUUGACCUCUCCCUGUCUCUAUAGGCAUUUGGAAAUGGAAAGGCUUCUGAUAACACAUGUCUCAAGAAGUACUGCCAGCUAGUUGCCUGCAGACUCACGAUAAAGUAUUCACCUUGAUAAUUUGCUAGGAGUUGGGUAUCAGUCUUCCCACUAGAAAUCUUAUCCAUCCAUUGCUUGAUGAUUGGUUGAUGUUUGGCGGACACAGAACGGACUCCUCCCUCAGGGGCAGACUCAUCUGAACCAAGCUCACAGGAACUGAUAAGCACAAACCAGGAUGCCAAUCCGUGAAUUUACUGUGAAUUGUCAAGUCAUCCAGAAGACGAGAAGGCUUAUAUCAGCAACGUGGCGCAUCCCCCCCCCCACCCAGAGCCGUGGCAAGUUCAAGCAUAGCCAGAAUCACCAGUGUGUCCAUUCUGUUCAUAUCCAGUAAGAAAUACAACUGUAAAGCUGAUAUAGUCUUAAUCUUCCCCUCCUCCCACUUUCUCUCUCUCCUUCUCUCUCUCUCAACUUGUUCCGUGGGGAGCCAAUUUACCCAAAGGUGAGGAUGUUAUCACGACAUUGGCAAUGAAUCAAUCCUAAGGAGCAUCUCUCUACCGCGAGGUGAAUGCCCUCUCACCACCAGAGGGACAGUGUGCCAUGGAAAUGGAAACACUUCAGGCUGUUGGACGGAGAGUACCACCCCCUGGGUGGAACUUGCAUAGGUGUCACCACCCUCAGCCUGCCCCCCACUCUGCUUUGUCUUUGUUUCCAUGGCGAGCAGGUCCAGUUCUGACUGGCCCGCUCAGCCAGACACAGUCAUUUGUAAGGGGCCUGGAGUCAUUCCAUCUCCUUAAGGAUAUGUGGCUUAUCUCUCCUGUGAUGUACUGAUUUUGGAGGCUGAUCUAUCGUGGGUGUGUUGAACGAGAACAGUUCUUGGGAUGGACUCCUCAAGCAGCUUUCUUCUGUCCCGACCAUCUUCUUAAAUCCGCUCUGGGCCAGUUCUUCUCCAGUCCCUGGAAGGAAUGUGAAACAAUCCCAUGCAGUUUCUGUUCACUCUCUGGGAAUGAAAGUAACAAGUUAUCAUCUCACUCCUGUCAGAAAAAUAUCCAGCUUUAUAUAAUGCUUGAAACUCUAGGUUUGGUUUAAAAUUGAGUCUCCCAUCCCUCCAGCUCGUGAGUUUAAGACAGAGGAGGGGCUUGACUGGCUUCUCCGUGCGUUAGUCAGCUCAGGCUGCUAUAACAGAAUGCCAGAGACCUGGUGGUUCAAACAACACACAUUUGUUUCUCACGGUUCUGUAGGCUGGGAAGUCCAAGAUCAAGGUGCUGGCCAGCCCAGAUCCUGGUGAGGACUGUCUUCCUGGCUUGCAGAAAAUUGCUUCCUUGCUGUGUCCUCACAGGGUGGAGAGAGAGAGGUCUCUUUAGGGUCUCUUAUAAGGGCACUAAUCGUAUUGGAUCAGGACUCCACCCUUAUGACCUCGUUUAACCUUAAUUAUUUCCUUAAAGCCCCAUCUCAAAUUCAGCUACAUUGGGGGUUGGGGCCUCAAUAUGUCAAUCUGGGGGGACACAGUUCAGUCCACAGCACUCACUUUUAUCACUUGUGUUUCCUCCCCUUCCUCUCCUGUGCUCAGUUUCUUUCCCAUGAAUAGGGGGAGAGAGGAGAAUCCAGGAAGCAGGACCACGUGUACUCGCGUGAAGCUGGCAUGAGCCUUCAGCGCACUCUCGGGCCCGGCAGUGUGUGAAUCCGAUUCCUUCUGUUGGGGAAAUGUUUGUCAAUUCUUGGGAGACCUUCUUCAUACAGUUGCUACGCUGUCCUCCUGCUCAACGCUUGUGGCUCUUUCCUUAACCCUUAAGAAUUCCAGGGCUGGCCUCCCGCCGCUUCCGUGCAGUCCCUUCUCCCCCGCGACAGCCCCCUUGCACAGACUGAGUGCUUGAUUCCACACCAGCUCUCGCUCCAGGGUGGGCCAUUAUGGUCACUGCAAACCCUCAGGCUUCCUUUUACUUUCUUCCUUUUGCAUCCCAAACUCUGAGAAAACGGGCCAGUCACAACACAGUACCAAAACCCUCUUUGCUCCUGCAGUCAGAACAGCUCCCACUUUUAGUUUCCCAGGCAGGGGUCAGAAUCCGUCCCCCUGCUCCCUGCUAAUCCACAGAGGACUUAUUCUAGCUUUCUGAGGAGUGUCCCUGAAGCCCUUCUCUCUUGACCUGAGGGAAGGGGAAUUAGCCCCCUGCCACCCUCCAGUCCUCCCUUCUCUGACAGACCUGGUGAAUUGGUCCCUAGCAUCAGUCCCAGCCUCUUUUCUGGUGUGCUUUCCUGCACCGCGAAAUUGAAAAUGAUCAUUUUCAGACUCUCUUGCAGUUAGGUUCUGGAUGCAGAAAAGGUGCUGCCGAUGGAUGGCACUUGAAGAGGAUUUGAAAGGCAGAACGGAGAAGGCGGGUGGGGGGAGGAAGCUUUCCAAUGCACGCAAGGCUGGCAGAUGGAGAUGGCUUUUCUGUGUCCAUGAUCCGCGUCCAACCAUUGUGCUCAUGGACAUCGAGGGGCAGUUGUGUCAGUGGUGACAGAGGUUUCCUUAUCUCUGGGUCACAGCUCUGGUGGUGAGAUGUUGAUGUCAGCAGUGCUGGAGCUCCAUGCUGGUCUCCUGACCCCUCCCCUCUAGGUAGCAACCAGAGCAGCAGCUCCCCUGGAGGCCUAUUCAGUGGUCCCGUUCCCAAACUCACUUCUGGAGGCCUGGCCUGCGAUAUACUCCUCCAGCCUUUCCAAAACUUUCUAAGUACAAAAUUCCUUGAAAUAAUGCUCAUCUGAUUAAAAUAUCUAGAAUGGUUUCUGCUCCCUGCAAAUGAUGCCUGAUGAUACACCUCCCCUUGGGAAGGGAGUGGAGUGAAGCUCGGGGCACAUCAACAACCAGGCUGCAACCUCCCUUUGGACAUCCCGUUGUGAACUCCCGGAGGCAGGCCUCGUUUCCAGCCGGGCCGAGCUCUUCCAGAGCUGCUGUGUCCUUGUCAUGCUCCAUCACGUGAAAAGGGCCCACUGUGCUUGGAACAGCGCAGUUCCCUAAGAAGGAAGAUGAUCUCUUCAUCUAUAUAUUUUUACAUACUCAAGAACCUAUCCAGUGUUUUAUUUACUUGACUAAUGACAUUCCCAACUGAAAAGCACUGACCCAGUCCCUUGACUCAUCUUUGAACUGGCCUCAGGAGCAGGCAGAGAGGUGGAAAACCUUCAGCAGCCUGAGACGAGCAGUUUCUCUCCAGAAUAUUCACUCCACCGACUACCACUGCAUCCCAGAGGGAUGGAUUCUUGGCUUGGUUUCGUUCACUGACAAAAUGCAGACAGCCCAGUCAUGUGAAAGUUGAGCCUCUGGCCCAGAAGCCCUCACCCGAGCUCAUCCUGACCUGUCUUCGGAGCAGGUUUUGACGAAAGGAAGCAGAGAGAACACAAGGGCCGUGGCCAGCAGCACGGAGGAAUGUGUGUGGCCUCCCUCCCCUCCCCCAAGCCACCCCACAUAAAAUAAGAGAAAUAUUGUUUGAGGUGAAUAAUUAACUUUCUCUUAAUAUUGUGUAAAGUAUACAUAAAAACUUCCUUUGGAAACUCUGCUAUUUGUCUUGCUUGAUAAUAGACUCUAAGCAAAAAAUGGUUUGCUCGCUCUAGAGAUGCAACUUUAAGACAAGUCCUGCAGCCGCUCCUUCCACUCGGUUUGCUGCCCCGAGG